rnacentral:rRNA from 1 species
UACAGAGGUGGCAAGCGUUGUUCGGAAUUACUGGGCGUAAAGGGCGCGUAGGUGGCCUUCUUAGUCAGACGUGAAAUCUCCAGGCUUAACCUGGGAACUGCGUCUGAUACUGGAAGGCUCGAGUUCGGGAGAGGAAUGUGGAAUUCCAGGUGUAGCGGUGAAAUGCGUAGAUAUCUGGAGGAACACCGGUGGCGAAGGCGGCAUUCUGGACCGAAACUGACGCUGAGGCGCGAAAGCCAGGGGAGCAAACGGG